UGUAAACAUCCUACACUCAGCUCUAAGAAGUGGUAGGGCUGGGGAGUGGAUGUUUACU
rnacentral:pre_miRNA from 17 species